UACGUAGGGUGCAAGCGUUGUCCGGAAUUACUGGGCGUAAAGGGCUCGUAGGUGGCCAACUAAGUCAGACGUGAAAUCCCUCGGCUUAACCGGGGAACUGCGUCUGAUACUGGAUGGCUAGAGUUUGGGAGAGGGAUGCGGAAUUCCAGGUGUAGCGGUGAAAUGCGUAGAUAUCUGGAGGAACACCGGUGGCGAAGGCAGGUCUCUGGGCAUUAACUGACGCUGAGGAGCGAAAGCAUGGGGAGCGAACAGG
rnacentral:rRNA from 1 species